rnacentral:rRNA from 1 species
CCUACGGGUGGCAGCAGUGAGGAAUAUUGGUCAAUGGACGAGAGUCUGAACCAGCCAAGUAGCGUGAAGGAUGACUGCCCUAUGGGUUGUAAACUUCUUUUAUAUGGGAAUAAAAUGUUUCACGUGUGGGAUUUUGUAUGUACCAUAUGAAUAAGGAUCGGCUAACUUCGUGCCAGCAGCCGCGGUAAUACGGAGGAUCCGAGCGUUAUCCGGAUUUAUUGGGUUUAAAGGGAGCGUAGGUGGUUUGUUAAGUCAGUUGUGAAAGUUUGCGGCUCAACCGUAAAAUUGCAGUUGAGACUGGCAGUCUUGAGUACCGUAGAGGGGGGUGGAAUUCGUGGUGUAGCGGUGAAAUGCUUAGAGAUCACGAAGAAUUCCGGUUGCGAAGGCAGCUCACUGGACGGCAACUGACACUGAGGCUCGAAAGUGUGGGUAUCAAACAGGAUUAGAUACCCGGGUAGUC